GGUCCUUUUGCAUUGUUGACAAGUAAGGUUCUUUACCAAACAUUACCCAACCACUGGAAAGUUGGUUUAUGAUCUAAAACUUGUGGGGUUCACUAAUAGCAGAAGCAUGUCCGGUCCUGCUCUAAGUAAGGUUCUUUACCAAACAUUACCCAACCACUGGAAAGUUGGUUUAUGAUCUAAAACUUGUGGGGUUCACUAAUAGCAGAAGCAUGUCCGGUCCUGCUCUGAUGCCAUAGCUCAAACAAAGGAAUCCAAAGCACACC
rnacentral:lncRNA from 1 species